rnacentral:misc_RNA from 1 species
UAUUGGGAGAGCCUGGUGCAG